rnacentral:tRNA from 2 species
GGGCGCGUCGGUUAAUUGGCAAACUACUUCUCUCCAAAAGAAGCACUGCAGGUUCGAGCCCUGCCGCGCCUGCCA